GACGAACCGUGCGAACGUUAUUCGGAAUCACUGGGCUUAAAGCGCGUGUAGGCGGGACGGCACGUCGGUCGCUGAAAGCCCCCGGCUCAACCGGGGAACGGGCGCCGAUACGACCGCCCUGGAGGGACGUAGGGGGACCUGGAACUUCCGGUGGAGCGGUGAAAUGCGUUGAGAUCGGAAGGAACGCCCGUGGCGAAAGCGAGGUCCUGGACGUUUUCUGACACUGAGACGCGAAAGCCAGGGGAGCGAACGGG
rnacentral:rRNA from 1 species